rnacentral:rRNA from 1 species
GAUGAACGCUAGCGACAGGCCUAACACAUGCAAGGUCGAGGGGCAGCAUAAAGGUAGCAAUACUUGGUGGCGACCGGCGCACGGGUGAGUAACACGUAUGCAACCUACCUGUAAGAGGGGAAUAACCCGGAGAAAUUCGGACUAAUACCGCAUAAUACUGAUUAUCUGCAUGGAUUGAUCAGUUAAACAUUUAUGGCUUACAGAUGGGCAUGCGUAUGAUUAGAUAGUUGGUAGGGUAACGGCCUACCAAGUCAACGAUCAUUAGGGGUUCUGAGAGGAAGGUCCCCCACACUGGUACUGAGACACGGACCAGACUCCUACGGGAGGCAGCAGUGAGGAAUAUUGGUCAAUGGGCGAGAGCCUGAACCAGCCAAGUCGCGUGAAGGAAGAAGGUUCUAUGGAUUGUAAACUUCUUUUGUAAGGGAAUAAAAAGAGUUACGUGUAACUUAUUGUAUGUACUUUACGAAUAAGGAUCGGCUAACUCCGUG